UCCGGUUUGUCACCGGCAGUCUGGCGUGAGUCCCCAACUUAAUGCUGGCAACACGCCACGAGGGUUGCGCUCGUUGCGGGACUUAACCCAACAUCUCACGACACGAGCUGACGACAGCCAUGCAGCACCUGUGUUACGGCUUUUCGGUACAUGUCAAGCCCAGGUAAGGUUCUUCGCGUUGCCUCGAAUUAAGCCACAUGCUCCGCCGCUUGUGCGGUCCCCCGCCAAUUCCUUUGAGUUUCAACCUUGCGGCCGUAGUCCCCAGGCGGUUCACUUAAUGCGUUAGCUGCGGCACCGGAGGUUACCCCCCGACACCUAGUGAACAUCGUUUAGGGCGUGGACUAC
rnacentral:misc_RNA from 1 species